UCUGCCCAUCAGACGGGGACAACGAUUGGAAACGAUCGCUAAUACCGGAUAGGACGAAAGUUUAAAGGUGCUUCUGGCACCGCUGAUGGAUGAGCCUGCGGCGCAUUAGCUAGUUGGUAGGGUAAAGGCCUACCAAGGCGACGAUGCGUAGCCGACCUGAGAGGGUGAACGGCCACACUGGGACUGAGACACGGCCCAGACUCCUACGGGAGGCAGCAGUAGGGAAUCUUCGGCAAUGGGCGAAAGCCUGACCGAGCAACGCCGCGUGAAUGAUGAAGGCCUUCGGGUUGUAAAAUUCUGUUAUAAGGGAAGAACGACUUUAGUAGGAAAUGGCUAGAGUGUGACGGUACCUUAUGAGAAAGCCACGGCUAACUACGUGCCAGCAGCCGCGGUAAUACGUAGGUGGCGAGCGUUAUCCGGAAUUAUUGGGCGUAAAGAGCGCGCAGGUGGUUGAUUAAGUCUGAUGUGAAAGCCCACGGCUUAACCGUGGAGGGUCAUUGGAAACUGGUCGACUUGAGUGCAAAAAAGGGAAGUGGAAUUCCAUGUGUAGCGGUGAAAUGCGUAGAGAUAUGGAGGAACACCAGUGGCGAAGGCGGCUUCCUGGUCUGUAACUGACACUGAGGCGCGAAAGCGUGGGGAACAAACAGGAUUAAAUACCCUGGUAUUCCACGCCGUAAACGAUGAAUGCUA
rnacentral:rRNA from 1 species